AUCGAUAAUNCACGUUAANUUUCACUUUAAUUUAAAAUUUAUAUACCUCCAUCUUAAGAAUUAACUAUCAAAUAUUUCUCCAAAUAAUUUAUAAUAAGUUAGGUCAAGGUAUAAUCCACAUUAAAGACUGAGAUGAAUUACAUUAAAAAUUACUUCAAGAUUUUAAAUAGAUAUAUUUAUAUAAAUAAGAAUUUAAAUGUAAUAUUCAAACAAUAAUUUAAUAUGAUAAAGAUAAUAAAUAUGCACACAUCGCCC
rnacentral:rRNA from 1 species